rnacentral:tRNA from 1 species
UGUAAGGUGUCCGAGAUUUUAGGUAUUGGUUUGUAAAACCAGAAAGGAGGGUUUCCUCCCUUAUAA